AUACGGAGGGGGUUAGCGUUGUUCGGAAUUACUGGGCGUAAAGCGCACGUAGGCGGACUGGAAAGUUGGGGGUGAAAUCCCGGGGCUCAACCUCGGAACUGCCUCCAAAACUUCCAAUCUAGAGAUCGAGAGAGGUGAGUGGAAUUCCAAGUGUAGAGGUGAAAUUCGUAGAUAUUUGGAGGAACACCAGUGGCGAAGGCGGCUCACUGGCUCGAUACUGACGCUGAGGUGCGAAAGCGUGGGGAGCAAACAGGAUUAGAAACCCUAGUAGUCC
rnacentral:rRNA from 1 species